UACAGAGGGUGCAAGCGUUAAUCGGAAUCACUGGGCGUAAAGCGCGCGUAGGCGGUUUGUUAAGUGGGAUGUGAAAAUCCCCCGGGCUUAACCUGGGAAUUGCAUUUCAAACUGGCCGACUAGAGUACGGUAGAGGGAGGUAGAAUUUCCUGUGUAGCGGUGAAAUGCGUAGAUAUAGGAAGGAAUACCAGUGGCGAAGGCGGCCUCCUGGACCGACACUGACGCUGAGGAGCGAAAGCCAGGGAGCAAACGGG
rnacentral:rRNA from 1 species